CAGACACCGAAUCCCGCCCUUCGCCAUGGCCGACCUCCCCGCUCCGACCGGGAUCCUGGCACCCACGGACUCCGCCCUUUGGGUGUAUAAGUACCAGCUCUAGUGGCGUCCCGUACCCAUCGACUUGGAGCUGGACGAGCUCUGGCGAGGGUCCCGCCCCGCGCCACCAUUGCCGUUGCCGAAAGGGCCGCCGCCGCUCUGUAUUUUAUGGGGAAGUCACGACGCCGCCGCAACCGGAAUCGAGUAGAACCAUCACAUCGCCACAGGGCUAUCCAUGACGCGGUCCGACGAGUUAUGAUCAGCUCGGCUCCAAUUUGCGCGCGAGGACACGUGUCAUCUG
rnacentral:lncRNA from 7 species